GCCUUAUUUAGUGUGUAUCAAUCGAGUUUCUGACCUAUCAGCUUUUGAUGUUAGGGUAUUGGCCUAACAUGGCUAUGACGGGUAACGGGGAAUUAGAGUUCGAUUCCGGAGAGGGAGCCUGAGAAAUAGCUACCACAUCUAAGGAAGGCAGCAGGCGCGUAAAUUACCCAAUUCUAAAGAAGAGAGGUAGUGACAAGAAAUAACAAUACAAGGCCAUUUCAUGGUUUUGUAAUUGGAAUGAUGGGAAUUUAAAACCUUCCCAAAAUUCAAUUGGAGGGCAAGUCUGGUGCCAGCAGCCGCGGUAAUUCCAGCUCCAAUAGCGUAUAUUAAAAUUGUUGCAGUUAAAACGCUCGUAGUUGAAUUUCAAAGAAUCAAUAUUUUAAGUAAU
rnacentral:rRNA from 1 species